rnacentral:rRNA from 1 species
GAUGAACGCUGGCGGCGUGCCUAAUACAUGCAAGUCGAGCGAACAGACGAUGUGCUUGCUCCUCUGUCGUUUGCGGCGGACGUGUGAGUAACACGUGUAUAACCUACCUAUAAUACUGGUAUCACUUCGGGAAACCGGAUCUAAUACCGGAUAAUAUAUUGAACCGCAUUGUUCAAUAGUUAAAUACGGUUUUGCUGUCUCUUAUAGAUGCUUCCGCGCCGCAUUAGAUAGUUGUUAAGGUAACGGGUUACCAAGGCAACGAUUCGUAGCCGACGUGAGAGGGGGAUCGGCGACACGGGAAGUGAGACAGGGUAAAGAGGACUAAGGGAGGGAGCAGAAGGGAAUGGUACGCAAUGGGAGAAAGGAUGACGGAGCAAGGCCGAGUGAGAGAUGAAGGUGUGCGGAUCGUAAAAAUCUGUUAUUAGGGAAGAAAAAAUGUGGAAGUAAAUAUGCACGUAGUGACGGUACCUAAUCAGAAAGCAACGGCUAACUACGUG